rnacentral:rRNA from 1 species
UACAGAGGUCUCAAGCGUUGUUCGGAUUCAUUGGGCGUAAAGGGUGCGUAGGUGGCGCCGUAAGUCGGGUGUGAAAUCUCGGGGCUCAACCCCGAAACUGCACUUGAUACUGCGGUGCUCGAGUACUGGAGAGGAGAUUGGAAUUUACGGUGUAGCAGUGAAAUGCGUAGAUAUCGUAAGGAACACCAAUGGCGAAGGCAGCACUCUGGGACGUGACUGACGCUGGGACGCGAAAGCGUGGGGAGCAAACAGG